CCCUUAGAUGUCCUGGGCCGCACGCGCGUUACACUGAUGCAUUCAACGAGCUUAUAACCUUGGCCGAGAGGCCUGGGCAAUCUUGUUAACGUGCAUCGUGAUAGGGAUAGAUUAUUGAAAUUAUUAAUCUUGAACGAGGAAUUCCUAGUAAACGCAGAUCAUCAAUCUGCAUUGAUUACGUCCAUGCCCUUUGUACACACCGCCCGUCGCACCUACCGAUUGGAUGGUCCGGUGAAGCCUCGGGAUUGUGGUUCUUGCCGCUUUAUUGUGGCGUGACCGCGAGAACUUGUCUAAACCUUAUCAUCUAGAGGAAGGUGAAGUCGUAACA
rnacentral:rRNA from 1 species